GACGAACGCUGGCGGCGUGCUUAACACAUGCAAGUCGAACGACGUGGCGAACGGGUGAGUAACGCGUACUCAACCUGCCCUUCAGAGGGGGACAACAGUUGGAAACGACUGCUAAUACCUCAUACUGAAGGGGGGGAUUGCGUCUGCUUAGCUGGUUGGGGGGGUAACGGCCCACCAAGGCGAUGAUCAGUAGCCGGGCGUAGGGGAUGAACGGCCACAUUUGGACUGAGACACGGCCCAGGCUCCUACGGGAGGCAGCAGUGGGGGAUCUUCCGCAAUGGACGAAAGUCUGACGGAGCAACGCCGCGUGAGUGAUGACGGCCUUCGGGUUGUAAAGCUCUGUUAAUCGGGACGCGGUACCGGAAUAGAAAGCCACGGCUAACUACGUGCCAGCAGCCGCGGUAAUUC
rnacentral:rRNA from 1 species